UGCAGAACAUUAAACCACACAAUCCCCCUGAAACCAUCAGCGAACAAGCACAAACACAAACGGGGAAUAACAAAACAGGGAACUUUUCAAGACUAACCCCCUUUGCAAACUCGAUUCUAAUAAGCAUGCCGGCGAGGUUGGAACCCUGCAGGCCCCGCAUCGCGAUCACCGCAUCCUCCACCUUCCUGUAAUCCACAAAUGCGUAGCUCCGGCCGGGUACAUAACCAAUCUUUUCCAAAUCCCCAAACCUAAGGAACUGCUCCGAGAGCAUGCGUUCGGUCACGUGGGAGCUCAAAUUCCCGACCCAUAGAUGCCGCGAGGGUGGGGCGAUGCCCCACCCCGACGACUUCCGAUGUUGUUGUUGUUGUUGUUGUUGUUGCUCCUUCUCUACAAAUCGGGGUGGGCCGUAGCUGACGCUAGGUCGAUCUCUUCCACCUCCCCCCCUGCCCAUCUAUAUGCAAAAUAGGAUCGAUUCGUAGGUCAAUAAAACCCUAGAAAUUAAUGCAGAUCACAUCAUAAAUAGUUCCAAAAUGUAGAAAAUUGCAGCAAAAAGGGAACAUAGAUAACUAGUUAGACCAAAAAGUGAACAUAGAUAACUACUUAGGUCGAUCUCUUCCACCUCCACUCCUACCCAUCGAUAUGCAAAGUAGGAUCGAUUCUAGGUUAAUAAAAAACCUAAUUUUGAUGCAAAUCAGAAAUCAAAUGCCCCAAAUACGCAGAAAAUUGCAACAACAAGAGAUCAUACAUCACAUAUGAGAUAGCAAAGAGAUAGGUGUUACCAUUUUCUUGGGUUAGGGUUUCUGAUCGACGAUGUAGGAAUCAGAGAUUAGGGUUUUAGAGAGAGAGAGAGAGAGGGAGAGAGAGAGAGAUGUCGAUGCGCGUUUUGUUUUGUUUUUUCGCCCUUUGGAGACGCGAGAGAAGAGGAAAAAAAACCGAACCGGAAUUGGACCGGAUUUGGGGGGAAAAGCCGGUUCACCUAAGAAUUGCUCACUCGAACCGCAACCAAUUGCACUCUAGUCCUCAAAUUUUGAGUAUCUUAACACUUAGGUCCUCAAAUUUUAAUUUAUUAUAAUUAAUGACCCAAAAGUUCUAAAUUAUUACAAGGCUAAAAUGUAUAGAAACCUUUUCCUAGACUUUAAUCAAUUUCGAAAUUGAUCCCCUGAACUUUUUCUUAUUUGAUUUACACUCCUCUACUUUCCAAUUAUUUGAUCUAGCUUCUUCCCUUAGAAAUUUUAAAAAUUCUGCUAGAAUCAAACACCUACGAAAGAUGCCGACUAAAGUAAUUUUUAAGCGCAUACAUUUUUCUUGUGUGUGUUUAUUUUGAUUCAAAUAAAACCUUCAAAAUUAUCGAAGAAACGAACUAAAUCAUAAGUAGGAGUAUAGAUCUAAUAAACAAAGUUCAGGGGGGUGAAUUUCAAAACAGUUUAAAGCUCAGGGGUUUCUAUAUUUUUUAACCUUAUUAUAAUUAAGUCCUUUAUUUUGCUGAUGUGGCAUUUUAGCAAUCGCCACAUCAUCAAUUACAGCGCUACAGUAUCACCACAAUAUUAGCGAAACAUUACCAAUUAAAGAAGAGUAAAUUUCAAAUAUCAUUCCAGUAGUUUCGCAUUUUUUUACUUUAGUAUUCUGUAAUUUAAAGUGUAUCAAAUUAGUGUCCUGNUGUGGUUUCAUUUUUAUCUUUUCAUUAGCUUCUCUAUUAAUAUUUCGUUAAAUUAUAUAUAAAAUAUUCAGAUACCCAAUCUAGGUUUAUCGAAUAUUCACUUGAGUACUACUUAGUUUUAACUUUAUCACUGAUUUAACGAAAAAAAUUAGUAAAAUAGAUAAUACAAAGAUAAAAAUAAAACCACAUGAUACUAAAUUUAUACAUUUUAAAUUACAAGGUACUAAAGUGAGAAAGUGUGAAUCCAUAGGGAUGGUAUUUGAAAUUUUUCCUUAUAUUUUAUUCACAUCAUAUAUGUGUUGUAUUAUUUUUCGCUCUAAAAUGAUACGCACCUAAUCUCCUUAAAUGGCUUUUUCAAAAUCCAUGUUAAUAUAUCAUUUUAGAUUAAAAUAGACGUGCUUAAUACAAAAGUAUAUAAAUAUUGUUCUCGGUCUAUGUGUCAUAUACACGGAUACGGGACACGACACGACUCGGACACGACGAUUCGGCAAAAUUCAAAAUAUAAGGACACGGACACGACAAAAACACGGUUAAUAAAAUAUAAUAGUUUUAGUAUAACAAUACAUAUUUAUGUUAUAUAAUAUACUAAUUUUGUAAACAAAAUUAUAAUUUUUAUAAGAAUGAAAAUUAAUAUAAUACUUUUAAAAUUAAAAUUAUCAAUCAAAUAUGAUUUUAAAAAAUAGCAGUUAAUUUUAAUUAUAACAUGGAUGUAAAAAAAUUAAAAUGAAGAAAAAGAGAGAGAAUACUUUUUAACAUUAGAAACUUUGUUGAAGAAAAAUCUAACAGAGAUCAAAGAUGAGAUAAAUAAUUUUUUUAUUAGGAACAGAACUAUAUAAUUUUUUUUUAAUUAUAUUUUGGCUAAAUUACAGAAAACCCCCCUGUCAAAAUCCGCUUUUUCACUUUCCCCCCCGUCAUUUAAAAACCUAUACUUUGCCCCUUAUAAAAUAAAAAAUGUGCACUUCACCUCCUACCGUUAGGGUUCCGUUAUAAAUUUUUUUUUUAUGCCAAAAAUACCCCUUCGCCCCUUUCCUGUUGCUUCGACGGCUUCCGGGACGGCGCCCUCGCCGGCCUCGCCCUCCUCCACGAGCUCAACCUCCUCUUCGACUACCCCCUCGACGUCAUCUUCCUCAACUCCAACCGCCUCCGCCGCCCUAUCCCCGCCAACCUCGGCAACUCCUCGGCCUCCAUCGUCGUCCUCGCACACGGGCGCAAUCCCGUCCUCCCUCUCCGACGCCAUCGACCUCCAGCAACUCGACGUCACGCACAACCGCCUCACGGGCGCAAUCCCGGAGGCCAUUUGCGCACUGCCCGCGGGUUUUCACAGGAAGGUUUUCUGUAAUUUAGCCUUUUAUUUUUUUCUAAAAUUGUAAGAUACUUAUUUUUUCCAAACUAUAUAUAUUUUAUUAAUUUAAUAAUAAUGUGGCAAAAUAUCAUAUAAUUUUUUCAUCCUUUAACUAAUUCACUUUUCAAUUUCCAAUAGCUUUCUGAAAUAGCAUGACACGUCACAUGCGCGUCCAUGCUGCGUACACGUCCGACCCACGUCGGACACGGACGCGAGGGGCUUUUAGAGAAUAACGAUUAUUUCGUAUAAUUUAAUAUUAUAUUAGAGCAGAAAAUUCUAAGUUCGAGCCACGCCAAUCUCCUAACAUUAUUAAUUUCCUUCCAUUUCAAGUCCACGUCAUAGGCUAGCGAAAAGCUUCGAGUCCAAACUUUUCUUCAGCAUUUAGGCCCCGUUUGGUUCGGGGGAUGAGCGGGGAUAACGAAAGUUAUUCCCGCUAUUCCGCCAAACAAGAUGAAUUUUGGCCAGAAUAUUUUAUCCCAGUCAAGACUUGCUAUUCCCGACUAUUCCGAAAUAGUUUGAGAUUUACUAUUCCACGCUAUUCCAAUGCUUAAUUUCAAACUUAAUUAAAAUUAUAAAUUGAAUUAAAACUAAAUUAUAUAAAUAUAAUAUGUUAUAUAUUAUAAAACAUUAUUUUUAUUAUAAAAUUAUUAAUUGUACUAUAUUAAUACAUAUUAUUUAUAUUUAAAUAUUAUAAUAAAUUAUAUUUAAAUAUUAUAAUAAAUUUUUUUUAUUAAAUUUAAGUUUAAGUAGAAUUUUAAAAAAAAUUAUAAAUUUAUUAUAAUAAAUUAUUUUUAUUAAUUGUUCNUUCAAGACUAACCCCCUUUGCAAACUCGAUUCUAAUAAGCAUGCCGGCGAGGUUGGAACCCUGCAGGCCCCGCAUCGCGAUCACCGCAUCCUCCACCUUCCUGUAAUCCACAAAUGCGUAGCUCCGGCCGGGUACAUAACCAAUCUUUUCCAAAUCCCCAAACCUAAGGAACUGCUCCGAGAGCAUGCGUUCGGUC
rnacentral:lncRNA from 1 species